rnacentral:rRNA from 1 species
GUGGGGAAUCUUGCGCAAUGGGGGAAACCCUGACGCAGCAACGCCGCGUGGGUGAUGAAGGCCUUCGGGUCGUAAAGCCCUGUCAGGUGGGAAGAAACUUGUGGAUGUUAAUACCGUCCACACUUGACGGUACCAUCGGAGGAAGCACCGGCUAACUCCGUGCCAGCAGCCGCGGUAAUACGGAGGGUGCAAGCGUUGUUCGGAAUUAUUGGGCGUAAAGCGCGUGUAGGUGGUCAGGUAAGUCAGAUGUGAAAGCCUUCUGCUUAACAGAAGAAGUGCAUUUGAAACUGCUUGGCUAGAGUACGGGAGAGGAGAGUGGAAUUCCCGGUGUAGAGGUGAAAUUCGUAGAUAUCGGGAGGAACACCAGUGGCGAAGGCGGCUCUCUGGUCCGAUACUGACGCUGAGACGCGAAAGCGUGGGGAGCAAACAGGAUUAGAUACCCCGGUAGUCC